rnacentral:lncRNA from 1 species
CCGUUCUUCCCUUCCCCUUUCACAACAGAAACGUGAAUCAGACCAGUAGAGAUUACUUUGUGAACUUGUGAGGGAGAGAUGAGACCUUGAGAGAGGAGUGGGCAGCUGCAUAGAGGAGAGGAAAAAGAGAGCUGGAAAACGUGAGAGGAAGAAGAAGGAGGAGAACCAACAGCUGAAUAGUGUCAAACCUUCCUCAAACUUAGUUAAAUUCAGAAGGUAUGGGUCAUGAAACUCUCUUCCUCUCCCCCGUAAGAUCAAAAACGAAAAUGAAGAAGAAAAACCCUAAGAAAAGAAUUGAUCUAAGCCCUAAGCCAGCUGUGAAGGAAGCUGAAAUUAACCAAGAGAACAAGCAAACAAAAGUGAAAUAAAGUCAAUUUCAGAACAUCUAACAAAUCAUGGUAGAGGGCUGGCUUUAACUAGGGGGUAAUUAAUGUGUUCUGCUGUGAUGUUGUUGCUGGACUUAAUGUGUUCUGCUGUGAUGAUUGUUGCUGGAAUUAAUGUGAUGUUGUUGCUGGAAUUAAUGUGAUGAUUGUUGCUGGAAUUAAUGUGUUCUGCUGUGAUGAUUGUUGCUGGAAUUAAUGUGUUCUGCUGUGAUGUUUGCUGCUGGAAUUAAUGUGUUCUCCUGUGAUGAUUGUGCUGAAAUUGAUGCUCCUAAUUGUGUGUUGCGCAGCGAAAUUCUGUUUCGCUGCCGCAACUGAACCUCCUACAGCGAAUUGAUAUUCGCUGCCGAUUUGUGUGUUGCGCAGCGAAAUUCUGUUUCGCUGCCGCAACUGAACCUGCUGCAGCGAAUUAAUAUUCGCUGCCGAUUUGUGUGUUGCGCAGCGAAAUUCUGUUUCACCGACGCAACUGAACCUGCUGCAGCGAAUUAAUAUUCGCUGCCGAUUUGUGUGUUGCGCAGCGAAAUUCUGUUUCGCUGACGCAACUGAACCUCCUGCAGCGAUUUGAUAUUCGCUGCCGAUUUGUGUGUUGCGCAGCGAAAUUCUGUUUCGCUGCCGCAGCUGAACCUUUUGCAGCGAAGUGAUAUUCGCUGCCGAGUUGUGCGUUGUGCAGCGAAACUGUGGCGCCAACAGCGGUGCAGUUCUCGCUGCCGAACUGGCAGCCUGCGGCGAACCAGUUCUCGCUGCCGAAUUGGGCAGCCCGCAGCGAACCAGUUCUCGCUGCCGAUUCCUACAAUAAGCCUCCUAGGCAGGAAUGACUUAAAUGCUAAUAACAAUUUCAUGAUAUGAUGGUGUAAAAUAGGGAACACUUGAAUGUGAACAUAUGAACUAUUGAAAUAAGUGUGAUGAUGAAUGUGAUUCAAAAAUAAAAUAAAUACAACUGUGCUGAUUUGUGACCAUUGAUGUCUUAGGUGGUGCGGUCGGGAUUGGACCAUCAUCAAGACAGGAACGACCCACAGGUGGAGCAGG